AAAGGAAUUGACGGGGGCCCGCACAAGCGGAGGAGCAUGUGGUUUAAUUCGAUGAUACGCGAGGAACCUUACCUAGACUUGAACGUGAUAGUGAUAAAGUAGAAAUAUUUUAGCUAGUAAUAGACUAUUACGAGGUGCUGCAUGGUUGUCGUCAGCUCGUGCCGUGAGGUGUCAGGUUAAGUCCUAUAACGAGCGCAACCCUUACACUUAGUUGCCAGCAUGUAAUGGUGGGGACUCUAAGUGGACUGCCUGCGUAAGCAGUGAGGAAGGUGGGGAUGACGUCAAAUCAGCACGGCCCUUACGUCUAGGGCGACACACGUGCUACAAUGGUAGGUACAGAGGGCAGCUACAUAGUGAUAUGAUGCUAAUCUCCAAAGCCUAUCUCAGUUCGGAUCGGAGUCUGCAACCCGACUCUGUGAAGUUGGAUUCGCUAGUAAUCGCAGAUCAGCCAUGCUGCGGUGAAUACGUUCCCGGGCCUUGUACACACCGCCCGU
rnacentral:rRNA from 1 species